UGUAAACCCAGUGCAGUUUCCACCACACCAUGUGGGCAGAGGAGUUUGUUUCUGGAAAUAAGUAUAAGGAUCUUUUGCCACAAAUCUCACUUGGCAAGUUUUCCUAAGAAAGCUCCCUUCAUGGUGCUUGGGCUUUUUCAGGCUCAUCCUGGUAGAAGAAAAGGCUGAAAAUGAUAUCUCCAAUUUAUUACUGCAUUUGUCUGGGGGCACUUUUCUGAUUGAAAUGACACUAAAUCCACUGGGAAGUAGAAGCUGUGGGCUUCACGAGGAUGCAACCCACACAGCUGUGAUCAAACCUUUGAUCUGUUACCACGACUGUCAAAAUAAACUGAUAUGAAAUAUGAAAAAAAGAGAGUUCUUAUUUUUAACUGCCAGAU
rnacentral:lncRNA from 1 species